CCGACACCCUUUGCGCCACCGGAAGCCUCGUUCCCUCAGAUUUCCCCCUCCCUCCCGGACCGACUUCCGGGUGUGGCUGCCGCCCUUCCCCCACCCACGCCGGCGGGAGCCGCCCGUUCGCGCUGCCAGCAGCUUCCGCCUGCUACGGUCCUGGCAAGCACCUCGGGAUCCCAUUCCUUCACAGGGACCCUAGCCAGUUAAAGCUGAUACAUUCCUGUGGGUCAACUAUGCAACUAACUCAGAUUUUGAGCAAACAAAGCUCUCAAGUUGGUGAUCCUCAGGAGUCUCUGCAUUAGUUGGACAGCUCUUCUGGAAUUAUCUUCUAAGUCAACUGUGGGUUGGGUAGGUGGCUCUGCUGAUUUUUCGCUGGACUUCCACAUUUGGGACGAGUUGGCUGUCAUCAGCUCUAGAAAGGGUGUGGCCGUUUUACAUUGGCUGUUUUCCUCACAUUCCUCAAGCAGGUACUGUAAUAAAGAACUGGAGAAAUACAGUCAGAUGGGAAGUAGCCCUUGCUGUCAAGGAGCUUGCCAUCUAAUGGGGGAGACAGGCAAGUAAACCAAAGACUACACAGUGCAGUAUGGUAAGUGCCAUGAUUUUGAUGUGACAGGGCACAGUGGACGACCUUCCAAAUCAAAGCAAGUAACUAGGGGUUGACAAUGGUAAGUAUCAUAGUUGAAGUAUCCUUGAACAAGGUUUCAGGAAGAAGAAGAAGGGAAUUUCAUGCAGGGAAACAGCCAAAGCUCAGUGAGUCAAAAUAUCACAGCAUUCUUGGUAAGCCCAAUUGUUUUUUCUGUUUUGCUAUUUUGGUGGAGAGAAAGGAACACAUAAAGGAAUAACAUGAGAGAAGGCUAUUUGGGGAAGUGUAGUAGUUAAGGUUCUGGCUCAAACAACAACUGCAGCUCAUAAAGUUGACUUUAGUGGAAGGAUACUGGGGUAUCUCAUGGAAUCUUGGGAACUGUUGAAUAACCAGGGAAACUCUGGGAAACUCACUGGUAGGAAUCCAUAAACUGUCCUCCUGGUGGGCUGUAAACAACUCACCCUCUAUGCAUCUCACAUCAAAAUUCCAGUUUCUUGGGAAAACAAGUCUGUUUGCCCAAUUUGGGUCAUAUUUCCACGUCCAUGUUACUCAGGCAUGAUUCAUCUGCAAGUUAUGUGUAUAGAUAUUUUGCUACUGUUCCACCCUUACGCUGUGCUGGGGAGGGAGGUGUCACUGUGAGCUGUGUCGGUGCCUUAAGAGAUAUCUGUUGUGUCUUAUUACUUGGUUGCUUUUCCCCACAUGUACAAUGACAAAAAUGCCUUCAACCUAUUUGAUCCAGCCGUUCCAGUACAACUCCUAUACUUGCCAUCUUUCCAAGCCCAAAGCUAUAGUUCCUCAUGGUCCUGCACUCCAUGGACUAAAUUGUAAGUAUAAUUACUACCAAUGUACUCUAUAAAUAACUUUUGGGGCCAGGGUGGCAAUAGUUGCUAGAGAGAAAAAAAAAAAAAAGGAAGGAGAAGAAAACAGUGAUAGUUCUUAUUUUAAAAGGAAAAAAAGAGGCAGGAGGCUCUCUUGAGGCCAGGAGUUUAAGACCAGCCUAGGCAGCAUUUCAAGACCCUGUCUCUACUAAAAAGUAAAAAAAAAAUUUAGUCAGGCAUGGUGGCAUGCACCUGUAGUCGUAGCUACUCAGGAGACUGAGGUGGGAGGAUUGAUUGAGCUCAGGAGUUUGAGGCUGCAGUGAGCAAUCAUCAUGCCAUUGCACUCCAGCCUGGGCAUCAGAGCAAGACCUUGUCUUUUAGGAAAAAAAGGCAGGGAAGAGGAAUAGGUAAUUUUUCAGUGUUCAGACAUUCCAGCAAUAUGUGUGGAGUACUCAUUCUCACUACAGUUUAUGAGGCCAUAGCUAGUAUGUAUGACUACCCAUCCAAGUUUCCCUGCUUACAGUUACUAUUCCAACUGAUUGGGGGGCUUUUCCUAAUAGAGUGAUUUAAGCCUUCAUUUUUAGACAUCUAAGCCCUUGGUGAUCAUCAGCAUAAAAUGUGACAAAUUAAACAAAAGCAAGACAGCACAUCAGAGAACAACUCUGAGGUGGAAUGAUUGGGAACCAAUGAAUAGUUGUUCAGUAAAUGGUUUAUAUUUUACAGAUGAUGAAACUGAAACACAAAAAAUUUAGAUUAACUCUUAGGUGACAAAGCCAGGAUUGAAGCUCAUGCGGUCUGGCUCCAGAACAACUCUUCUUCAUAGUUACGUUAUACUGCCCCUGCAUUGUUGGUAUUGAAAGUAAGUGUAGGCCCUGGGCCUUCUAUACCUGGGAUUAAGUCACAUAUUCCUCUUCCUCUUCAAAUUUUACUAGUCUUGUGAGCGAGAAAAAGCUACUGAAUUUUUCUAAGCUCAGUCUUUUUCAUUUAUGAAAUAGAGAUAUCCUUUGUGGGCCGGUUGCCGUGGCUCACGCCUGUAAUCCCAGCACUUUGGGAGGCCGAGGUGGGUGGAUCACGAGGUCAGGAGAUCAAGAUCAGUUGAAACCCCCUCUCUACUAAAAAUACAAAAAAUUAGCCAGAUGUGGUGGCGGACGCCUGUAGUCCCAGCUACUCGGGAGGCUGAGGCAGGAGAAUGGCGUGAACCCGGGAGGCGGAGCUUGUAGUGAGCCGAGAUCACGCCACUGCACUCCAGCCUGGGCGACAGAGCGAGACUCCGUCUCCAAAAAAAAAAGAAAAGAAAAAUAGAGAUACCCUUUGUGGAGGCAUGAUGCUUAUCAUGUGAUAAGCGGAUUUCUAAAAAUGGUGGUGGCUUUAAGCCUAGCACAUAAAGUUGGGAUUUUACAAGAAAAGUAGAGAGAAUUGAUCAAGAGAUUUUGUGACAGAACAGGAAGUUAGAAGGCGGCGAAAUGAGAAAUGAUCUGUGAGAGACUUGAGGAGAUGAAGAGGUAGAUAUUCUCAAUACACUGUAGAAAGCAUGAUUAAGGGGAAGGAAGUGAGAAACAUUUUUUAAAAAUCAUCCUCCAGCUAAUUUGGAGAACAGCCACACUUUGUAAUAUGAGCCAAGAGAUAAAAUCAAAUUUGUGUCUCGGGAGGGGAAAAUAAGCCUCUUUUCAAGUUAAAUUCCCCUGCCACCUGGUUUGUUUUCUUCACUGUAAAUGAGCACUGGGAAAAGAACAGGCUUUAGAGAUUCUGCCCAAGCAAUUCGCAGACCAUUUUCUUGGUAAUCACAUUGUAGCUCUUUUUUCAGUCAGGCUCACACAGGAUUUAAUGCUGUUUUUUGACAGCAAGUAUUAUUUUUGACGUCUAUCAAAUGCACCAAAACAUGCCUGAAAUGUCUUAUUGGAAUGUAUAUAUGGGAAGAAAAGUGAGUUACAUGUAUCUUUGAAAUGACCUAAUAUAAAAUUCUGCAAAUUCACCUUUAUAAGCUUGGUUAUGUAACUUGACCUAAGUCAUUGUUUUGGUUAAAACCUAUUUAUUCCUAAUGUUCCAUUAUUGGAAUGCUAAGCUUGUGGGAGUUAUUUAUAUCCUAUGCUCAAGGUCAUCGUCUGAUUUUUCACACAAAAAAAUUUGCAACCUCUGGCAUAAAUGGGUUAAGGCCAACAUUUACUACAAUGAGCUAGUACAUUGAUUAAGUGACCAAUUAUAGUAUUUUCAGGAGCAUAUGAUGGCAAGUGGCAUGUGGUUAAAUUACAGGCAAAGUGAUUGAGAAAGUCACUGUCUAAAUACCAGUUCACCAUGAUGGCAUUCACCAUCAAACCUAUCGUCUUUAUUAAAACUAAAAUUAGGGUUACUGUUUAUAUUUAGAACAGAAAUAUGUAUCUUUGUGAUUUUCUUGUAUUUGGGAGAAAGGAACAACUUAAGCACAACUUAAACCUACGCAGAUGCUUUUCUAGUAUUGGGAGCUUUAAAGGAUAACAAAAUCGAUUUCUAUUUCUUUGGUAUAAUUAUAUUGAUUAUAUUGGAAAAACAUGAACCAAUACAUUUGGCUUUAAGAUCUACCAGCUGGUCACAUACAGGUACCCAUGUAUGCAAAAUGUGUUUGAUCUUUUUUUUUUUUUUUUUUUUUUUGAGAUGGAGUCUCGCUCUGUCACCCAGGCUGAAGUGCAGUGGUGUAAUCUCGGCUCACUGCAACCUCCGCCUCCCGGGUUCAGGCAGUUCUCCUGCCUCAGUCUCCUGAGUAGCUGGGAUUACAGGCGCGCACCACCACGCCCGGCUAAUUUUUGUAUUUUUAGUAGAGACGGGUUUCACCAUGUUGGUAAGGCUGAUCUCAAACUCGUGACCUUGUGAUCUGCUCACCUUGGCCUCCCAAAGUGCUGGGAUUACAGGUGUGAGCCACUGUGCCCGGCCUUGAUCAUUUUAAAUUCAUAAAUAAUACUUAGCCCCUGAGUAAUUAUAAUAAAUAUAUAAUUAAUGCAUAUAUCACCCAUAGUUAAUUAGGAAUAUUUUAUUGGCUUAAUGAGCAAAAUAUGAUCAUAAAAUAUAAGCCAUCAUAGCCCAGAUGUAUAGCAAUAAAAGAGCUUAGAUUAUAAUAUCUCACAAUACAAGUCUGCAUUAGCAAUGACACUGUUAUAAAAUAUUUAUAACACUUUCUGAUUUAAUUUUAAAGAGAUUCAUUCAGUAUCUUUUUGGCAUUUGAAAUGAAACCUUAUUUUCCCUCCACACAAUAGCUGAUUAAAAACAGCUUUUGAAGAGGUCCCAGGCAACACACACAGAGGGGAAAUGGUUAGAUACGUGGGGCAUCUUUGUAUUUUCACAUUAAAAUUCAAUGUUAUUCAGACCCAAGUAGAUAGAUAAUAAAAGUGGCAUUCAAGUUGGGAAUGGUAGCACAAGCCUGUAGUCUCAGCUACUCAGGAGGCUGAAAUGGGAAGAUCACUUGAGCACAGGAGUUUGAGGUUUUAGUGCACUGUGAUUGCACCUGUGAAUAGCCACUGCACUUCAGCCUAACAUAGCAAGACCCCAUCUCUUUUUUUAAAAUGUUACAUUUAUAAUCAGUGAGGAAAAUAUAAACUAUACAAUAAAUGAAAGGGUCAUUGGCCAAUUGUUUGGAGGGAAAAAAUACACCAUGUUCUAAAAUAAAUUUCUAGUGAUUUAUUGUGACUUUCAUGCAUUUGGAUGAUUUUAAAGAUUUUAUAUAAAAAUGAAACCAUAGCCUUACGAGAAGAAAAUAUAAAGAAAAACUUGUAUAGUCUUGGGAGGGGGGAUUAUAUUAUGUGAAACAUUAAGUAAAAUAUUUAUUUUUUAAAUAUUAAAAAACUAAAAACUGUGCUUUAGAAGUCACCAAAAAAUUAAAGGGCAGGCUGGGCAUGGUGGAUCACACCUGUAAUCCCAGCUUUGGGAGGCUGAAAUGGGAGAAUCACUUGAGGCGGGGAAGUUCGAGACCAGCCUGUGCAAUAUAACAAGACCCCCAUCUCUCCAAAAAAAAAAAAAAAAAAAAAAAAAAAAAAAAAAAAAAGCCAGGCAUAAUGGCGUGUGCCUAUAGUCCUAGCUACUCAGGAGGCUGAGAUGGGAUGAUUGCUUGAGCCCAGGAGUUUGAGGCCACAGUAAGCUAUGAUUGCACUAUUGCACUCUAGCCUGGGUAACAGUGUGAGAACGAGACCCUGUCUCAGAAAAAAGAAAAAAAGAAAAAGAAAAAGGGCAAGUGCCAAAUGGAAAGAGAAAAAAAAAGGACUAACAAUUAGGAAGUCUUACAUAUCAGUAAGGAAAAGAUAAAUAGCCAAACAGAAAAAUGGGCAAAGGACUUGUACUGGUAAAUCAGAAAAGAAGAAAUGAAAAGGGUCAGCAAAGAUUUUUUUUUCAUUUCCAUCAAUAAUAAAAGAUGCAAAUCAAAGCAACAUUAAAAUACCAUUUUGCCUAUCUAAUUGGUAAGGAUUAUUUUUAAAGAUAAUACUCAGUAUUAGAGAAGGUAAUUAAUAAUGUGUGCCACAAGAUGUUCAUUGCAGUGUCCUUCCUUCCUCCCUCCCUUCUUUCCUCCCUCCCUCUUUCCCUUCUUUGCUCUCUCUUUCUUUUUUCUUUAUCUUUUUUUGGUAUAUGUUUGAUAUUGGUGAAAAACUGAAAAAUGAAAAUGACCAACAAAAAGAGGACUGGUUAACUAAAGUAUGGUAAAUUCCUUCAACCAAACAUCAACACUAUUCAACCAAUAAAAAUGACACUAUAGUUAAUAUAUUUGAAAAGAUGUUCAUAAUAUAUGAAGUUUUUGUUUUGUUUUGUUUUCUUAGACGGAGUCUUGCUCUGUCGCCAGGCUGGAGUGCAGUGACACGAUCUCAGCUCACUGCAACCUCCACCUCCCAGGUUCAAGCGAUUCUCCUGCCUCAGCCUCCCAAGUAGCUGGAACUACAGGCACGCACCACAACACCCAGCUAAUUUUUGUAUUUUCAGUAGAGACAGGGUUUCACCAUGUUGGCCAGGAUGGUCUUGAUCUCUUGACCUCGUGAUCUGCCCGCCUCGGCCUCCCAAAGUUCUGGGAUUACAGACGUGAGCCACCAUGCCCGGCAUAUAUGAAGUUUUAAAAAAUCAGAAUACAGAACAAAAUUUAUUGGGAGAUGAGCUUCUUUCUUUCUCUCUUCAACACCAUCGCCACAUCACCUCCACAUAUACACACACUGAAAAGAUACUGAAAAGACAUAAUAACCAUGGGAAAUGGAGAUUACUGGAUUGUUAAAUGUUCUUUUUGCCUGUCUUUAUUCUCUAACUUUGCUAUAAUGAACAGAAAUUAUUUUUUGAUAAGCAAAAAAUAUUUUAAAUUUAAACAUGUAAAGUAACUUAGUAGUUGUCUUUUCAAAAUAUGUAAGAAUCAUUAGUUCACUAGUUGGUUAAAUAUGUUUUUAAUCCCAACAUCUUGAUAAUUGUCGCAAAAUUGAGGGAACAUUUUUUGAACUCUAAAAUGCUAUAGAAUUGACAGAUCAUUUUUCAGUUCAUAAGUUAUUACUUAUAAUCAGUUUUUUUAUUGUUACUAUGGCAAUAUUUUAUACACAAGAAUGGCUGAGGUUAGGAAUUUGUGCCCUGAAAAUUGUAUCAACAUAUCAAAUAUGAAGUAAAUAACAAUUUCUUGCUUUAAAUAUAACAAAGAUGUGGGAAGAAGUGGUAGGCAAGAGUCUCUGUGUUACCAUGGGAACGAUUAAGUUUUCCAAGGUGCAAACCAGCCUCAUUCCAGCUUCAGGGUCAAUGACUUACUAGCUCAGAGGGAAAUGUAUAAAUAUUUAAGUACAUACCUACUAUCUGUACAGAGUGACUCUCAUUACCCAGAGAACUGCUGUAAAAUAUUAUUUAUUCACAGAUUACACAAAACCAAUCUAAAUUAGUACUUUUAUACAUUCUAUUUGGGGAGUACUUAAGGUGUAUGAGCAAACAAAUUGUUAUCCAGGUCACUCCAGAACUGUUGUAUACAGAUUAAGAAUUGAUGUUGGAUACUAAUUAAAAUCAUUAAAGCAAAAUCAAAAAACACUUUGGCUAGCAUUUCAAUUAUUUUUUAAACAGGAUUUCUUAAAACAAUCCCCAAAGUAGUCUUGUAAUUUGUUCAUUUUAAGGAUCUAUGUUACUCUGAGGCCAAUCAAGGGGGCUAACAGUCUAGUUGGGGAGCCAAGAUAGCCAUUCAUCAAUUCAUUCAUUCAUUCAGUAAAAUGUAUUGAGAACCUACUAUGUACCAAGCAAUGUGCUGGGCACUAAGCAUUGAAGAAUACCUGAAACAUGGCACCUGACCUCAAAAAGCUUAAAAUUAGGAGACAUAGACAUGUAAGUAAAUAACUGCUAUAGGCAAAUCUCAGCAACUGCCACACCUGCUUGCUCCUUUAGCAGAACUUCUCUGAUUGGCCAUAUUCUGCACAUAGUGACCAACUCACCUCUUUUCCCUAUCUGCUUUCCUUGCUAUAGCUGAGAAAAAAGCUGUGGCCCAAAAGUUUCUCCCCUGAGAGGGACAGGAUCAGAUUGUCUUUUCAAGAGUUCCCAUGUGCAAUACAGAGCUGAAGUUGAAGCUGAAAGGAUUCAUAGAGAAAGGCCAGUAUAAAUCUUCAGCAUACCAAAGUUAUGAGAAAGGAGAAAGCUUGCAAUGCAUGUAUAGAGGAGGUGCUGAGGAGUUGGUGGUAGCAGCAGACAAGGGAGGAGAAAUGGAUAGAAUCAUGGUUAUUGUCAAGGUGGAGGAUCCGUGAACUGCAACUGAAGAGGGCUAGUGACAUGACCCAGUUCUUAGGGCUGUCUCUAUUCCUGAAUAUUUACUUAAUAUAAGGCAAUUCUUAUAUAGCAUUAGGGUAAAAAAAAAAAAAAAAGGAUUCGAAGUUUCCGAGAGACUUCUGUUUCAGCCAUAACAGAAUAGUGAAUUUACCUUCCCCCAGUAAAUAGCCAUAAAAUUAAAUAAAGUAAAUAAAACCAACUGUUUUCAGACAUUGGACAAUAGAAAGCACAGAACUCUAUGAUCCUUGAGAGAAGGGGAACAAAGAAGGUGUUAAUCACAAAGCAAUUUAAUUUACAUAAGCAAGGAAUAUAUUAAACAUCUAUUUAGAAAUCAUUUGCAUGAAUGUUCAAUAUUCACUUUAUUUCCAGAGUCAUCCAUAUGUAAUCUGGAUUACUUAGAGGCUGUCACGUUAGCCAACAUUAAUGUAUAAUGAAAGCGCAUCAGUUUAAUAUAAGCAUCCACAAGUGACCAUAUGGGAGAAGCAGUUAACAUUGAGCUUGCUGCAAUACUAAGGGAGUUACUUUUAUAAAAAUUAGGCUAUAAAAAAAAAUUAGGCUGUAGUCUCCAUAAUGUAUUAUACAACUAAUUUAACUCUGGAAAUCUACCUAUAAUCCUACAAAAUAUUUGCAGAUAAUCAACUGCAAGUUCAGACUUGGAAAUAAACAAAAGAACUACCCACUGUUUGCUUAAAUCCGCUUAGGUCAGCAAUAUACCUGAAAUUCAGUAGCUUGCUGUCAGUUAAGAUGCCGUGCAUUAACACUGAAGGAACUGUUGUGGAGAGGAAGCAGGGAAUGAUUAGCACUGAAACCACUGCACUUUUAUAAGGAAGGAAAAUUUUCUUUAUGCGGGUAUGAAUAAUACUAACAAAUGAAAUACUGGAACAUGUAGGUGGAGGAUACAUCAUUUUGGCUGUUACGGAUGAUGUCAAGUCAUACCUAACCUGCUCAUUGUAUAAAACUUAAUUAGUACUCCAAAGUGCCUUACUGUAACUAAUAAAAGAUGUAUUGACCCCCCUGUGCUAUUAAGAUAAGACUGAGAUUCUGUAGCAAAGAGACAUCUCAUGUCAGAGGUAAGAGGUCAGAGGUCAGUGCUUCGGGCUCCAGCAGGGUUCUGUUCCAUGCAGUCAUUCAGGGUCCUAAAGUACUUCAGUCUUUGUUUUGCCAUUCCCUAAGGUGUUGUCCUCAUUUACAUGGUCUCAAUUGGGUUUGAGUUCCAGUCUGUGGGAAGGGAGAAAGAGAGGCCCUGAAGGGCUGGCAAUUUCCUUUUAAAAAGAAACAUCACAGCUGGGCAUGGUGGCUCAUGUCUGUAAUACCAGCACUUUGGGAGACUGAGGCUGGAGGAUCUCUUGAGGCCAGGAGUUUGACACCAGCCUGGGCAACAUAGCAAGUCCCUGUCCCUAUGAAAAAUGCAAAAAUUAGCUGGGGUGUGAUGGCAUGUGCCUAUAGUCCCAGCUACUCAAGAGGCUGGCUGGGUGUGGUGGCUCAUGUCUCUAAUCCCACCACUUUGGGAGGCCGAGAUGGGCGGAUCAUGUGAGGUCAGGAGUUCAAGACCAGCCUGGCCAAAAUGGUGAAACCACAUCUCUACAAAAAUACAAAAGAAAAUAGCCAGGCGUGGUGAUGGGCCCUUGUAGUCCCAGCUACUCAGGAGGCUGAGGCAGGAGGAUUGCUAGAACCUGGGAGGCGGAGGUUGCAGUGAGCUGAGAUUGCGCCACUGCACUCCAGCCUGGGCGACAGAGUGAGACUCGGCUCAAAAAAAAAAAAAAAGUGUGCUUGAAGAUUUAGUUACAAGGUUGUUCACUGCAGAAUUCUGUUAAUAGCAGAAAAAUUGAAAACUGUCUAAAUAUUUAUCUCAUUGCUUCCUGUGGAAGAGAGCCUUAAAUGUGUCCAUGGAUACCAAGUGACAAUAUCAUUACAGUUACUGCUCCAAGAACCAUAAUCUCAUUUUGACAUAAAUUAUUUCAUUUAAUCAAUCCUGCAAGGCAGAUGUGAAUAUGUAAAUAAGCAGAGGCUCAGUGACCUUAAGAAACUAGUUUAAGGUCAAACAGCAAAUAAGUAAUAUGGUUAGCUUUCAACUCAGUUGUGUCCAGUUCUUCCCACUCUGCUUCGUGCAUCUUUUCUCAUUUGUUUUGCCUAGCAGGACUGAUGAGUGGAACACCUUGCUAAGGAGAAAGCAAUGUGCACAUCACAGGGCAACUCUUGAUAAACAACUGCCUCACCAGAGAUUGGUGGGGACAAUGCCUAGCCUUCAGGAUUCAUCAGGGUGUUUGUUUAUCAAGAGUAGAAACCAACUUUGAACUGUUUUAGGUAGAAAAGGGGAAACAUAAGAAAAUAGAAGCAUCUCACGAAGCUAAGGCAGGAAUGCAAGCAACCAGGUGUCAAAAGAGCUGACACUGAAAUGGAAAUAUCAGCAGGAACUCAGAGAGAGAGAGCUUACUUUGUUUCUCAGUUCAUUUUUUUUCUGCAGCAUCUGGCUUUCUCAGUUAUUCAAGCCAUAUGGCAGCUGGCAGAUGGCAGCCACAGCUUUCAUAUUUACUUUUUACAGUUCCAACCACAUGGAAAGACACACUCUCUCUGCUCCCAUCCCCACUUCCAGAUUCCUUGGGAAGGGACUCUGCUCAGCUUGAGUCAGCAGCCUAUUUCCAGUCCAGUCACUGGCCAGAGGGAGGAUGGGGGACGUUGUACACAGCUCUGCCAUAGCUGAGGGGACCAGUUAAUGGGUUCAUUGUGAGCCAUCAAGAUAUUCCAAAAAGUGUCUAGAAGACACUUCUCCAUGUGACUCUGGACUGACCUAGUUCUCCCCCCGACCACCAUUUCUUGGUUGUAGUUCUCAAGAAUAAUUUUUAAAUGUUCUGGGAAUGCAGUAUCAUUAGAGAGGAACUGCCUGAAACAGCCUAGGCCUUGUGCUGGGGCAGUCAGGGAUGUGAUUUUCUGUAGUUACACAGAUAUACUUUCUUGAUGCAUCUCUUGACCUUGAAACUCAGACUAAAAGGGAAUUGACAGAAGUAUUGUUUUUUGUUUUUGUCUGUGACAAUAGUUGCUACAAAAAUAAGCAAUUGUCUUUCUCUACAAGUGACAACGACCAAGUUUGUCCAAAAGAAUUUAUUUCACCCCCUUAACAUCUUGCUCAACUGAUUUGGUGGUAACAAAUUUAAAUGCUAAUAAAUGGACUGAUUCAAAUAAUCUAUCACUAAAAAAUAUAGAUGUAUAUUCUGAUAUUUGUAGUACCACUUAUUGACAAGUAGCAAGGGUUUGUUUGUUUGUAGUUUUCCCCAGAAACAUCUGGCCUUGUAAUGCACAUUAGCCAUAGAUUGCACUGGAAGAAAGGCAGAGAAGGAUGGAAAAGACUCAGGCAGGGACAAAGCUGGGAUAGCAUUUCCAGUAUAUCAACAUAAGGCCAGUUCUUUUUAUUAAAUCUCAAAAGUACUUUACUUGGAAAAUACACAAAAAUAAUUCAUUUGGAAAAUUACACCAACAAUUAAUAGUUUGUGUGGCCUAAAUUAGUAUGGCAUAAAGGAAUACAAUCUUAAAACCUUGAGCUACUCUAAUCUGGAUGGAUACUUAAUAAUGUUACACAGGAAGUUAUGUGGCAACUGUUUUCUGUCCAAUGGGGAGAAGGAGUUUUCAGCUUAGAUUCUACAGACAGUCCCCGAUUUAAGAUGGUUUGAUUGAGGAGUUUUUGAAUUUACAAUGUUGCAAAAGCAAAAUGCAAUCAGUAGAAGCCGUACUUCUAGUAAUCACACAAUUGUUUUGUUUUUCACUUUUAGUACAAAAUUAAAUAAAUUACAUGAGAUAUUCAAAACUUUAUUAUAAAAUAGGCUUUGUGUUAGAUGAUUUUGCCCAAAUGUAGGCAAUGUAAGUGUUCCGAGCAUGUUUAAGGUAGUCUAGGCUAAGCUAUGAUGUUUGGUAGGUUAGUUGUAUUAAGUACACUUUCUACUUAGGGACACUUUCAACUUAUGAUGGGUUUAUUGGGACUUAGCCCUAUCAUAAGUUGAGGAGCAUCUGUAACUUGUAAAUUAUUCUUUUAUAUAAAAAGAUUUAAAAGAUCUUUCUCCUCUUCACAUUAUGGGAAGAACACUUUGGAGAGAGAGAGAGAGAGAGACAAAGGCCACACCCCAGUAAUGAGCAGAAAGCAUUUUGCAGAAAUAAUUAAAUUCUAGUUAGAAAUGCCAUUGAUAAGAACUUGGCACAUAAGGUAAAAUUUAGGUUUCAGUUUAAAUGUCCCUUCCUCCAGGAAGCCUUUUAUUAUCUUCUUGGACUAACUUUGAAGCUCCUGCUCUGAACUUUGAUAGAGUUUCCAGAUUGUAUGGGACAUAUUUAUAGUAAUUAAUAGAUUAUACAUUAUUUAUCUGAAAUUCAAACUUAACUGAGCAUCCUAUAUUUUAUCUAACAAUCCUAUCUAUAUUUCAUCUUUUCUUUUUUAAGAACCUACCAAAUUUUAUUGUGAUUGCUUAUUUAAGAGAGUAAGCUGUGUAAGGUCAGGGACUAUGUCUAUC
rnacentral:lncRNA from 1 species